AUAAGUUAUGUGUUUUUCACUUAGACAAAUAAAAUAAAUCCUUGGUUUCAUCUUCUGAUCGACUAUUCUACCAUGCAGAUCAGUCUCUGUUUGAAUUUUCAUCUACGCUUAUGGGUUUUCCAAUGUCGGGUAAGUUCUUAAUCGAUUUCGUUGCUCUUCUCCACCAAUUGUUAUAUAAUCUUCAUCAAAUUUCUUUUAAUUUUUGUUUAAUAUUCAUCAAAAAUCUAUAUUUCAUGGCUGAAUCUUAAUAACUAAGGUAAUAAAGUGGUAGAUUUUUCUAUGAAAAAAAAAAGAAAAAAUCGGUAACAUCAAUGUUUAAUCAGUAUAAAUAUUAAUCUUAUUCUAGGUUGAAAUGUCUGUAUUUGAAAAGUUUUGGAUUAUUUUGCAUGUUACAACUUUACGUUUGCUCAUGUUCUUUUUUCCCCUCCUUUUUGGUUUUCUUUACAUUUUCAAAUUGCUUUUCUUUUUGGAUUGUAAAGAUAAUUUUCGAAAUACUCAAAUUUACUUUUGGUGUUUAAGCAUAGAAAUCUUUUAAUUGAGGAGUUGUAACAAUGCGAAAUCAUCUCAUGUAGGCUGAUUUUCUGCACUUUUAAUCUAUUAGUGUAUUCUAUAAAUUUGAGACCAAAAAUAAGAGUUGCAGAACCGAUAUAAUAUUAUAAAAGAUGUGUAUAUGCUUUUACCGCUGAAUUAACUUUGAUGUUCUUCCCAAGAGUCUCUUAUAAACAAGAUGAGAGACAAAGAAACUCUUCAAUGCUCUAUGAAAUUAUUGAAAUUGCACGUAUAUAUUUUCUUCCUUAACUCAACUUAACAUAUUAACACAGAUUAUCUUAGUUAUAGGUAAAUACACAUUUUUCUAUUUUUACUCUUCAGUUGAUCUUGAUGUGUAAUCUAUACACUAUUCAAUUGUGAAACCUCGGAAUUUGAUGAUGAUUAUUGCUUUAUUCAAGCACCAUGAUUGAGAUAUAAGUUUUUUCGUAACUGUUGCAGUGACUACUAUAAUAGAAGGUGAAUAUUUGUAUUAAGAAGUUGGUAUCUCUUUUCUCACAUUGCCAUUUAUCUCUAAAUUUUGUGGUAAUGCUUCUCUUGAAAAUGUUACAACAUAUAUUAGUUACAUGCAUAGUCACAGGUAAGAGUAGUGCCUAUUGCUUUCAUUCACUCCAAUCUUAUAGGUUCAAUUGCAGUCGCUCAUAUUCCAAUAGGAAAUUAUUAUUUUUCUUGAAAAUGUUUGUUUAGCCUGUGCCAUUAUAGUUUUCUUUGGAUGGUUGAAUUAUUUUCGUGUAUUACUCUAAAUUAUUCAAAUUGUUCAUUCUGUUAGUUUGAAGGUACUGAUUAUAAAUUUACACACAAAUUUAAUACUCUUGUUUCUUUUUGUGGUACUCAUGUACAUAUGGUAUGUAAGUUUUAAUUUAUAUUGGUUCAAUUUCUUUCCAUUUUACUAAUUCUUUCAGCUAAAAGUAAGUAGUUUCACGUUAUUUGCUCCAAAUUGGUUCUCUUGUGAAUUGAACUUUGGCACAUUUUUCUUUGAUGUCCGCAAAAAAUUUCUUCGUCAUUUUUUUAUUUAUAAUUUAUUCAUUUUUUUGUGUGGAAUUUCAUUGGAUAUGUAAUUGUUGUUGUUGUUUAUUGGUCUUUUUUUGUGCAUUUGAUUUCUCCAACAACAAACACUAUGACAAAUGAAAUCUAGAGGACUUGUAAAUAUUGAGAGAUUGUAUAGACUGCGUCUUUCCUUUCUUGUGUUAGUGAAAAUUACAACUGUUUACCAUCAUGGAGCCAGAUUGUUGAAUAUUCUAGCAUAAGAAUUUAUGAGAGACUAUAUAAAAUUCUGUUUUUUAUUUAUUAAUAAGGAAAAAAAAAUUAUCAAUUAGAAAAAGAUAGUAAGAUAUGUGGACUUUUAAUUUCUAUCAAUUCAUUGCUUGGGUACAAUAAUUCAUUCUAUUGUAAAGCACUAUAGUUGUUACAUAGUUCUCAUAUAUUUUUCUAAAGCACUUGGCCUACAAUAUACCACAGCUGGGAUAGUUGACGUACAAUUUAGCAUUUUGUGGUAGGUGUUUAUUCCAAUUUGAUUAUAUUUUGGGAAUUGUGUUGAUAAAUGUUGUGGGCAUACAUGAAUAGUCACCUGCAAAUUAUAAAAUGGAUACUCAUGUUGAGGGUGUGAAUAAUUUCCUUUGUCCUAAAGAUACAGAGGAUUGUUUUUUUUUUCUUUCAAAGGCAUCUCAAUGUUCAUGUAAUUCCAUUAUUGAUAUUUUCACUGUACUAUUUCAUUGAUUCACAUAUUAAAUUAUUGAUGUUAGCUUAUAUGAUUUAAUUUUUGUUCUUUUUAAAGAUAUGUUCCUUCAAGUACUAAACCAUUAAAAAGCCAUGUUGCUGUCUUUUACCUUACCAAAUAGAAGUUCUCCCUAUUUUAGGAGUGCUACUAAUUACUGGAAAGUAAUAUUAAGUAGUUUUAGGAGAGUUGUAGUUGUUUUGUUCAUGAGUCCGUUUUAGUAAUGUUGGAAUUUGAAGAUAUGUAUUUGGUAGCUGCAUCUGGUUCAUUAUUGUGUGUGAUUUUUCUUUUUUUCUAACUAUAGAUGAAUUCAAUAAUGUCUGUGAUUUUUUUUGCACUACGAUUUUACAAAUAUAAGCUUGUUGGUAGCUUUCCAUGCUUGUGAAACUCAUCAAUUAAGACAAUCAACCAGUUAAAAACAAAUCAGUUUGUAGAAAGUUUAGGUAAGACAACAUUUUCCUUCUUUUUGAUAGAUCAAUUAUUAUGGAGUUUUUUAAUUAUUUUUUCUUUUCUCUUAUGCUUACUGAUAAGCCUUGUCGACCUAUGCUUUUAUAUCAGGCUGAUGUAUGUGAUGCAUGUCAGCUAUUAAUAAAAGGUGGUCUCAAGGAUGAGAAUAUUAUUGUCUUUCAUAUAUGAUGGCAUUGCUUACAAGUUAUCAUUAAUAGUCCUACUGGUGAGGAUGUUUACAAAGGAGUUCCUAAGGCAGAUGUUUUUCGUCAUCGUUUAGUAUAUAACUAAACUGUUAACCUGUCUCAUGUGCUAUCUCUUGUGGAAGGAUUACACUAGAGAUG
rnacentral:lncRNA from 1 species